CGCACCAGAGGGCCUUGGCCGCGGGCAUCAUCCCCGACCUUUCCCGGGUCCCCUCCCCCGGCUCCCGAGGCACCGCAGCCGCCGGGAGGCCGGGAUGCCCAUCCUCCCCCUGGGGCCCCGGCAGCGGGCAAAGGAGGCAGGCCCGCAGGCCCAGAGGACCAACGAGCCCAACCGUCCCUGGCCCGGCCCCGGCGGCUCGCCCGCCCCCCAGACUCCCGCCCGCUCCAGACAGUACCUGCCGAGGCUGCGGGAGGGCGGCGGCGGCGCCGGCGGGAGCGGCCCACAGCUCAGGCUAGCGGGCGGCCUCUCGCUCCGACCGAGACCCCCGUCCCGCUGCCGAGCGCCCGACCGGCCCUGGCCUGCGCCUUACGUAAACCGGCGGCGGCGGCAGCGGCGGCGGCGGCGGCAGCGGCGGCGGUGACUCCGGCGGCUGCUCCCAGCGCCACUAGGCGGAGGGGAGGGGAAGGGAGGGGGCAAGGGAAGAGGGAGGGGGACGGGGAAGCCUCUCCGCUCGGUUACCCGGCAACUGGCCUCAGCGCCCCGCCAACCAGGUUAUAUUCCCUGCAAAAUGAGGAUAAAAUGACCAUGUACUUCCCAGAAAAUGAAGGAAUUGGACCAAGUUGCUAUGGUCUCCUACAGCUCUGCAAUUCUACAUUCAACCAUCUGGGUAUAAAACUACACAGUGACCUGGAACUAGAGUGACCAGAGAAAUCUGACUUUCCUAGAGGAAUCAGCCUUGUAGCAAUUACCUGUUAAGGCUGCUACUGCUGCUAUUACCCAGCUUGAAUAAAAGCUUUCACUACCAUAAGAGGUCA
rnacentral:lncRNA from 1 species